AUUUGAGAGACAUCCAAUGCAACAACCAAAAAUAUCUCUAGUUCAAACUGACAGAUUUAUUGGCGAUUUUUUUAUUAUUCUAAUUCAACUUCCGCGGUCCGCGGACAUCGACUCUAGGGUUUAAGCUGGUAGUGGAAUCUCUGCCCUCCUCUCCUGAUUGUGUAAAUUGAUUACUAAAGGGCGGAGAAGGUUAAUUUCCUUUCCUUGCAGUGACUGAAGAGCCAGCUGUCCUUCCUCUCUCUCCUUGGCUGCUAAGUGUGUGACUAUGAGUGAAUUGGCUCGGCCCUCCCUCACGCAUCUUUGGUUCAUUGGUUGACACUGCGUGUCUGAUUGACAGAAACAACAGAUUUGUCUCUUCUGAUAUGCGAGUUGGCUCCCAACGUUCACCUACAAGAGCCGGCUCUUCGCAAACGACCCAUCACUACAAGACUUCUAUUCUACUGAAUGGAAACUACAAGUGUUAUUGCUGUGCUCAAUGUCAUGGCAUUUACAAACGUAGAUCCUUCUAACACCCUCAAACAGGGAAACAGAUCCCAAUCAAAGGUGUUAUCAUGCUCCACCAAGGCAGUAAUUUAUCUUAUAACUUGUCCUUGUGGUAAAAAUGAUGUGGGUGGAACUAAGAGCGAAUUAACUCGAUGUACCCAGUUGCGGCCCACUUUUUGGAAGCGGACCACUCUAUUUCGUCCUUUCGCUAUAUCAGCAUCUAACACGUCCCCUAAGUGAGAGGGAGACCUUGACAAUUUAUUGUUAAAAGGAGAGGCUGUCUGGAUAUUUAAUUUAAAGACACUUGCUCCCUUUGGUCUCAACAUAGACUUUGACCUGAAGCCAUUCUUGUGAUUAUUGUGAUUUUUCUAUUCAUUUUAAAUGUUUUGUAGGCCUAUGUAGCCACAUUGUAUUUAUGAUCGUAUAUCCAUUCAUGCUUUUUAUAUGUUCUAUUUAUAUCUGUAUAUCAACCAGUAACAUCAAGCCACGCCCGGCCAUGAUUACAGACACCUGUGUGUCCUUCCAAAUUAUAUAAAUUAGUAACCCGCAGUGUUUGUCAUUAUACCCUGAUGAAGACAGCUUGUCUGGUGAAACGUUGGUUAUUAAAU
ensembl:lncRNA